GCUGGGUGCAGUGGCUCUUACCUGUAAUCCCAGCACUUUGGAAGGCUGAGGCAGGAGGAUCACUUGAGCUCUGGAAUUUUUAGACUGGGCUGUGCGACAUAGUGAGACCCUGUCUCUACAAAAAAAUUUUUUUAAUUGUGUAGCUGGGACUACAGGCAUGGUGGCAUGCUCCUGUAGUCCCAGCUACUCAGGGAGGCUGAAGCAGGAGAAUCACUUGAACCCACAAGUCUGAGGUUGCAGUGAACUAUGAUUGCGCCACUGCAGUCCAGCCAGGGCAACAGAGCAAGAGCUUGUCUCU
rnacentral:sRNA from 1 species